UGGUUUUUAUAGCAGCCAUCAAGUUUAUUUAGUAUUUAAAAAUGUUGAUCAAGCUCAAAGACUGACACAUAAUAAUGCAUAUUUUUAAACAGAAGUUAGCACAGAAAAAUGACAGUAUGCUCAGGCCAGACCUAGUAGAAAAUCAUCUUCUCCAGUUAAUUUGAUAUAGGAGGAAAAAGGCACCUUUAUUUGCUAGGUUUUAGCCAGGAUAACUCUAACCAACUGGAAAAAUAGUUUUGGGCAUCUCUAGAUGUCUGCAUAACCCAAGGACUUAAAAACUGCUGUACCCAGAAAGUUCAGAAAAGCAUAUUCUCCCCAUCUCCUUUCUCACGUGUUCCAUGCCUGCCCUCAUAAAAAUGACAGCAUUUUAGCCAUCAACAGGAAGACUACAUACAGCUGUUAAGAGCAGUCCUGGAGUCCCUCAGAGGACUAGCUGAUACUAGAAACAGCAAACCAGCUCCACAUAAGGAUACGUAGCUGGGACUUCUUGUGGACAAAAAUAAAGAUUUUCUUUUUCUACUAGAGAUUUAAGUACUAUGGCUACCAGACACCAAAAAAGUGCCAACCAGCUCCGAGAACUUCAGCUUGGUCAGCUAUUACAGGGACAGACGUAAGCAACACUACUACUUCCAGAAUGCACAUGGCAGCAGGAGAGUAAUCAAUCACCUACAUGUCUGCCAGCAAAUAAUCCCAGCAGUCGAAGUUAUGUGUAACCAGUACAAAUUGUACAAUACAUUUUCAAAUAAUUCAUAUUCAGACAAGAGUCACCUUGAUCGAAUAUGAAGCUUUAACCUUUUAGGGCUACAAAGGUUAGACUGUCAAAAGGAAACCGGAUGUAUAGCACCUAAUACGGUGUCAAUGUAAGAAAACUAUAUUAAGAAAGAAGCAGCAGCAUAAGAUAAUGCCUGUCAAGUAACAGUAACUGAUGCAGGAAUAUGUAUGAUGUGUCUUAUUAUUGCAGAAGUGACUAAUAGCAUAGAAGUAUUUUAAACAAUAAAGCAGGACUUACUCUUCCAAUAAUAAAAAAAAAAAAAA
rnacentral:lncRNA from 1 species